rnacentral:lncRNA from 1 species
GACUAAUAUGGUGGGUUGUCUUGCUUCUACAGCAAAAUAAUCAGUGUGCGAGAAAAAGAAAUUUUCAUACCCCUUUGGGACACUGAUUUAAAGCUGCCCACAUGAUUGACUUAUUUUACCUGCGAGUCUACCCAACAAAUAUUUGUGUCCGAGCUGCUUAGUGGUACUCGCCAUUAUCGUCAGU